AUGGGUGAGUUAGGUGGAAUACCUCAAUCGUUGUCGGAAGAGAAGGCGUAUAUGAUAAGGGGGUAUCUAGUUGAAUGUGGCGAUAGACUGUUGAUGGUGAAACGGUGGAUUCAUCCUAUUGCCCGUUCAACAAGUGAUGACUUUUUCGAGCAUAACCGUACUGUUGCACUUGGGGUUUUUGAGGCAGAUUUGGGCACCGAUCCUGCUGGAUGGAGAACAGUAAAUGAUUUGGAUGGCCAUGCGCUCUUUCUUGGCCAGCAUAGCUCCAAGUCCCUGCGCGCUGGAGAAUGCAGUGGAUACCAAGAGGACUGCAUCUACUUCAUGUGUGACUAUUCCUGGCCAAAGCAUUCUGCAAAUCCUCUUCGUGAUGCCGGUGUUUACAACAUCAGGAAUCAGACAUUCAUGCCACUGAUGUCGGGGACUGCAGCGGUACCGCCACAUCAUGCUGGCCAGUGGCGUCCGACAUGGUUUUUCCCUCCUGAAGCUGUGUGA
rnacentral:rRNA from 1 species